GCUCAGGGCGAAGGAAGGGAGAGGCGAAAGAGAAAGGCCGGCGUGCGGGUGGACGUAGGUUUAAGAAAACAUUUCCAGGAUCUGAAAUUGCAAAAAAGCGGAGGCCGGGCUUAUAAUGCGUGCCGGCUAGACGCAAAGCGGGUUUUCCCGGGAAGGCGGAUUUGCAAGCUGCCGCCCUGCGCGGAAGUUUCCUAACCUUGGAGCAACUGGGUCCUAACCUGCUGUACCUGCUGAAGACUCCCUGUGAUGCCCUGUGUGCUACAGCCCUGCGGAAGAAAACUCUGCAUCUUUUACUAUCUCCCCUUUGCAGGGGGGCUUUUUAAAAAAUAAGCUGGAGCUUCUGAAAGUAGCAUUCAAAAUACCGUAGGAGCAUCCUGUUACUAAUUUAACUUAUCCUCAGGGUCAGAGCCUGGAGAAAGAUAGGUUUCUGUUGUGCACAUAGCCUCCAAUUCUAGAAGCAAGACGUAGACAUGGAGAAGAGCUUAGAGAGCCCUGGAAAAGUCCCACGCAUCGUCCAGGUGAUGUACUUCAAAGGGCUGCCAAGGCAGUUCAGCCAACAGACAGACAUGGGGCUGCCCCAGCAGUGGGAAGCCCAGUGGCAAGAAUUCCUGAAGACGCUGCAGCCUGCUCAUGUGGGAUGGGGGAACCCACCCAUGGCGGAUACGGUGCCCUGGGAUGACGCGAAGGGAUUCCUGGCUGCCUUCGAGCAAGUCGCCGAAGCCUGCCGGUGGCCCCGCGAAGAGUGGGUGGGGCGGCUCCUGCCUGCGCUGAGGGGUGGAGUGGAGCAGCUCUUUUGCAGGCUGGAUCCCAGGGACAGGGGGGACUACUUGAAGGUGAAAGCAGCCAUCCUGCGAGCGGAUGCCAUCAGGGCGGAGGCGCGACGCAAGCACUUCCGGCAGUGCUGUUACCAGGAGCUGGAGGGGCCACGUCGGGCUUACGUCACGCUCCAGGAGCUGUGCCGGCAGUGGCUGAAACCGGAGAAACACACCAAGGAGCAGAUCCUGGAGCUGAUCAUCCAAGAGCAGCUCCUGGCCCUGUUGCCGCCGGAGGUGCAGAGCUGGGUGCAGGAAUGUGGGCCGGAGGACUGCAUCGAGACGGUCGCGUUGGCAGAGGAUUUCCUGAUGAGUGGCCGUCGCCGUCAUGCAGCCAAGGCAUGGGACUGGCAGGUGCCGACUGCCAGUUCCCUGGAUGCAGAGAGGCCUCAGCGACAGCACUGCGCAGGAGUCAGUCGAAAUGGCGAUCGGGAAGCGGGCUUGAUGGCCAGCGAAGCAGCACCCGCGAGGAACCCUGGCUUGGUGUUUCCUCCUGAGGGUCAGGAAGCGGCUGGGGUUGCACCGCCAGAGGAGCCUGUGGGUGUGAAGGAUGCGCUGGACCUCAGCCAGACACCUCUGCACUGGGAAGUCAUGCGGGAGAACAGUGGCAGCAGCAGCGGCAGCGCUGUAGAAGGGCUUCUGAUUCCCACACCUGAGAUGGACACUCAGCCUGGUCAACAAGAAGCCGUUUUUGCCCCGAGACCUGAACAUGGAGAGGCAGUCCCCGACCACUUCUUGGGUGGUGGGAAUCUCAACAAGAUCAAAAUUGAGCCUUCUCAGCAAGCGGUUGCAGAAGCAGAAGACACAUUUGUGGCAUCCUCAGUCGAAUUAACAGAUGACACUUCCUUGAGUCUUGAAACUGACGAGGUCAGUCCUGGAAAAAAAUUGUGCCCAGGGAAACCGCAAGGCCAGCAGCCAGAGAAAUCCACGCGGCGUCGGCGAAAAACCGUGAAAAAGAAAGGCAGAAAUUAUCCACCAGAGAAAAAGCACAUUUGUUCUGAAUGUGGACAUAAAGCCUAUUACUUGUCCGAUCUGCUGAGACACAUGAAAACCCACUCGAAAAAAGAGGUGUUCCAGUGCCCUGAAUGUGGGAAAACGUACAAAGGAAAAUCAACGUUUGAGACACACCAGAGAAUCCACCAGCCCCUGGGUGAUUCCCGCAGCUACAAGGUGACACGCUCGUGCAGUCAGCUGAAGCAAGGGUUCAUAUGCCCCACCUGCGGACUGUGCAAAUCUUCUAACCACUCCCUUGCUGAGCAUAUGAAAGACCACAUGGUGGAGAAGCCCUAUGUAUGCCCUGAAUGUGGCAGAACCUUCAGGUGGCAGUCGAAUCUUUCUAGGCACCAAGGGCUCCACAGACAUGCAAAAAAAGUUGCGGUACAUCCGCAAAGGCUCGGAGCUGCUGCCGAGGAGACAGGGAAGAUCGGCGACAAUACUUUGCAGCUGAAACCUGAGGGUCCAGGCGUUGCUUCACCGACUGGGGAGAGCUCACCGCCGCGCCCCGUUUCCAGACUGCGCCCGAGGAGCUCGCAAGGGCUGGGCGUGCCUGGGAUCAAAUCUCUUCGAGUGGUGCUGACCAAGCUGGGAAGCCCGAAGAAAAAUGACCACCACGCUUGCCCCGAGUGUGGAUUCAAAUCGGAUUGGCUCUCAGAAGUCAUUCGACACACGAGGACCCAUACAGGAGAAAGGCCCUACACAUGCCCUGACUGCGGGAAGGCCUACCGCUGGAUCUCAAACCUUUCCCGGCACCGGAAAAGUAAUAUCUGCUCAACUAAUUCCGCUUCCCCUGAUGGCUCCACCGAGGAAUCUCAGCAGGCGGAUGGAGAUACAGAACUGCCAGAAAUGAAGGAUUAUCUGCAGAAAAUAAUCAAAUUGGAAGACAUCUGUGUGUCGACCACAGAAGCAUCCUCACAGAGCAUCUCACUGAAGCAAGAGCCUUGUGAGAAUGAGCCCGAAUCAUGGGGUCAUCAAGGAACAGUGCAGGACAGCUCCCAACCACCGCAGAUAACGACUGAGAAGGAACCCACAGACUUCCAGAAAAAACACGCCUGCUCAGAAUGUGGAUAUCAUGCUGAAAGCUUAUCAGAAAUCGUUAUACAUACAAAAACUCAUAUCGGAGAAAAAACUUUUGAAUGUCCCGACUGUGGGAAAGCCUUCCGGUGGUGGUCAAAUCUUUUGAAACACCGGCAAGUCCACCUGUCCUACCAACAAGCUCCCGCCCUCGAGACUUCAGAGGUUCCCAGUCCGUCGGUUGCCGAAUGUGACGUCAUCCUCAGUGAUGAGGAGGAGUUAAUUAACAUCCUGGCGAAGAAUCCUCAGCGGGGAGGGACUAAACUGGAAGGCAGGCGGGGGCCGCUGUCGGGCGAGCUCUCAGCUGCUGCUUCUCUGGACUUUGAGGCUUCUGUGGGCAGUGCCACGUCUAAAGGGGAGACGGAAGGGAACACGAGGCCUGCUCGGUUUCCGAGGAAUGCCGCAGCGGUGAAGGCAAACAAAUUUAAUCGCCGGGAGAGAAAACACGAAUGUCCCGACUGCGGACACAGGACCUUCUAUCUGUCCGAUUUGGUGAGGCACCAGAGAACCCACACAGGAGAGAGGCCCUACAAAUGCCCCGAAUGCAAGAAGGGCUUUUCUCAGAAAUCUUACCUCCGCAUCCACCUGAAAGUCCACACGACAUCCAGUGGCGGCCUCAUCAAUGGGAAGAAGCUUGUGAGAAGAAAAAAGAACAAUCAAAUUGAGAGAAAGCACACGUGCUCCAAAUGUGGACAUAAAACCUAUAAAUUAUCAACCCUCCUUAUGCAUAUGAAAAUACACACUGGAGAAAAGCCUUAUAAAUGCCUCGAAUGUGGACAGACAUUCAACUGGAGUUCGAAUCUUUCCAGGCACAAGAGGCUGCACCAAUUCAAGAGGGACUUCAACACCCGAAAAGCGUCCCAGCAGGAAAAGUGGAGAGAAGGCCUAGGAACUUGCUUCAGAAACCAAGCCCACCUAACCCUCUCAGGAUACAGAAAGGAACAAGUUUCCCCGACUCCACAGCACAGUUUCAGAAGCCAGACUAUUGAACCAGGUAAUAAGACUCCAGAUGUGCAGACAGAGGCAAAUCCUCCACAGGGGAAGAGAGGCGAUGGGUUACCAGCCGCAACCAACGGGGACGCCUCUGUGGUGGCAGCCCUGAGCGAGCGAUGGGGCUACAACAAGCAGCAGGAAGGGAAGAAGGACCCAGAAGGGUCUGAGGGCUCUGUUCAAGACCACGAUGGACCCGUCACGGAAAGAAAGGACAACCUAGGCAAAAAGGAAGCAGAAGUGCGGGCAAGACUGGAAAAGUUUGCGUAUUUCAAAGCAGCUUGAUUUGCAGCAGUGAGAAGCUGAAGACGUCUCCCUCCACCUCACACGGACCUUUGGCUGCUUGCUUCUGCAGAUCAAGCCCCUCUGUUAAAGGCACAGGACCAAGCAGGAUUUUAACCACGGACAACCCUACCAGGCACCCAUGGCCCCGUUUGCCCUCCGAUCUUGCGCGCUGGCAGGGUUUUGAGCAGUUGAAAUGUUCACAGACGCCCCAGAGUUCCUCAUCGUGCUCACGCUGAGACAGGGUCCUUGCAUUUAAGCCCUCCGAAGCCCAAGAUUUUAACAGCCAGUAGUUUACAGGGGUUCCAAAGCCUGCCCUGUGUUUGGCUUCAAAUUUCGCCCCCAUCCUAUCUGUCUUGUUCUGAAUUUUGGAGGAGCUACUUUAGCUUGGUGUCAUGCCUGAUCUUCCGUGGCCACAGCCUGUAAGACUCCUGCUCGGUAUAAAAUACUGUGUUUUAAUUGAUAUUUGGACACAAGGACAUGAGAACUCUGGAUGGUUGGACCAAAAGACUGUGCCGUUCCGCAUCCUAUUUUACGUUAAGCCAACCUGAUUUGGCCAGCGAGGUUUCCAGGGAGGUCUGCAAGCAAGAUCCCUUUUCUGCUGAUGACCCCAGCAAUAGCUGCUCGGACGUUUGGUGCUUUAGAACUUGACUGUUAAUUUCUUACAAACUUUCAUGGACGGCAGGGAGAAAAGUGGUUGGAAAAGCUUUGUAUAUUUUUGUCUGUGUCACGGUGCUGCUAAGGGCAUGAGUGUAGGGCCAGAUAGGGUAGCGAUCUUGCUCUGGAGUCCUAUACGUGUCUGUUCAGAGGAAAUUCCCACUCAGUUCAGUCCUAGGUAAGAGAGUUCAAGGUUGAGGCCUUAGCACUCCAUAUAUUAAAGAGUGGGAGGGGAUUAUUGUCUAUGCUAGAAUAAAACUUAAAUUUAGAGCUGCGGAGUCAUGUUUCUUGAAUAAAUGGUGACGAGCUUGGUGGAACUUGUUGACAUGAUUCUUGUUAAUAAAGAUUUUUACAACUUUGAAA